rnacentral:rRNA from 1 species
UAUCCAUUAUGGAAAAUUCAACAUUAAUAUUAUAAUAUUUAUUUAUAAAUCAUUAUAAAAAUAGUGUGCAAUUUUUCCAUAUAAGGACAUUGUAAUCUGUUAAUGUAAUAAAUAUUUAUCAUAAGAUUCAAUAAAUAAAAGUUUAUUCAAAUUAGUUAUUUUCCGAUUUCUAACAUAGAAUAAAUUUAAUUGAAUUUGAUAAAUCAUUGACAGAUUUAUUUAUAUAUAGUGCUUAAAUUCUUAAUUGAAUUUUACAAUAAUUUUUAAAUGUAUUUUCAUUUAUUUAUUUAUUGUAUGCACUUAUAUGAUUAACAAUGCUAUAGAUUCAGGAUACCUUCGGGACCCGUCUUGAAACACGGACCAAGGAGUCUAACAUAUGUGCAAGUCAUUGGGUAUUUUUAAUAAAACCCAAAGGCAUAAUUAACUUAACUGUUUUAUAUAUAUGGGAUUAGUUUAUAUUUUAUUAUGAAAUAUUAAUUCAAUCCCAGGGCGUUCUAUAUAGUUAUGUAUAAUAAUAUUUAUAUUAUUUAUGCCUCUAACUAGAGCGUACCUUGAGCAUAUAUGCUGUGACC